rnacentral:rRNA from 1 species
AACGAACGCUGGCGGCAGGCCUAACACAUGCAAGUCGAGCGCCCCGCAAGGGGAGCGGCGGACGGGUGAGUAACGCGUGGGAACGUGCCCCUUUCUACGGAAUAGCCUCGGGAAACUGGGAGUAAUACCGUAUAAGCCCUACGGGGGAAAGAUUUAUCGGGAAGGGAUCGGCCCGCGUUGGAUUAGGUAGUUGGUGGGGUAAUGGCCUACCAAGCCGACGAUCCAUAGCUGGUUUGAGAAGAUGAUCAGCCACACUGGGACUGAGACACGGCCCAGACUCCUACGGGAGGCAGCAGUGGGGAAUCUUAGACAAUGGGGGAAACCCUGAUCUAGCCAUGCCGCGUGAUCGAUGAAGGCCUUAGGGUUGUAAAGAUCUUUCAGUUGGGAAGAUAAUGACGGUACCAACAGAAGAAGCCCCGGCUAACUCCGUGCCAGCCGCCGCGGUAACAC